rnacentral:lncRNA from 1 species
AGACUGAAUUAGAGAAAAAUACUAAUCUUCUUUUGUUGCAACAGUUUGUUCUGAGGGGUGUGCUUUAAUUUUCUCAAAUUCAGAUAGUCAUAUUUUAUGGUUUGUCUGACUAUUGGUUUGUAUCAGCUAUCUUUGUGCUUAGCCUAUUGUUUCCCCAGUGAUUUAAUUCUUGACUUAAAAAUAAACUGAAAUACAAAUUUUGGUGUGAAAAUACUCCAAAUUCUUUUUCUCUUGCUGGUUUAAAAAAACAAAAAACAAAAAACACUCCUGUACCAGUCAAAAGUUGUAGGAUAAGUAAAACUGCUGAAGAGUUUUGUUUUGCAUAAGCCAUGAUGUUCCAAUGCAGUCAGCUCCUGGCCUGAAACUUUCCAGGCAUGAGGCCAGACUUUGCUAAUAUACUAAUGGGAGAGGGAAGUAGGGGAAAGCUGCUCCAUUUGAGAAGUCUUUAGCUGCCCUCUGUCUAAACUCGAGUAUCCUUUAAACUUCUCUUCCUGGCUUACAAUGAGCAGUCAGAGCUUAAUGGGUGGCAAAGGCUUCUUGAAGUAAUGCCAGUAAUUUACCUUUUGAAGGCUCUCAAUGCUUGAUUUUUCUGUGCCUAAAUUCUUUUUUUGUUUUGAACAAGAUUAAGAAAUUAUGAGCAGGAUUUUUCUCCUAGCUUUCCUUACACUGGUUGAGUAUAUAGUAGAGGCAGCUCCGAUGUCCCUGAUUUAAGCAUAGAAAGUCCCAAGGGCAGAGUCAGUAGAAGCCAUGCAGCAGCUUCUUCUUUAUGUCUAGCUGAAAAUUGUUUUGGACCAAAUGGCCUAAGAACACACAAACCAAACCUGGUUACAGUGCAUGUGCUGUUGUAGAAGGCUUCUGACCACUCUUGCUGGCAGGAGGCUGACUCAGCCAGGCACACCGGCAGGAGCAGGGACCCUUUGAAAGGGUGUUUGGGGCUGAGGAUAAUCGCUGCACUAGGUGAGGCUGUUCUGCUGCUUCAAUGCUUGUUUCUUGGAUAUGUAAUAGCAAAGUGCUGGAACUACAAACAAGUUUAGUAGAGCAUCUGUGUUAAGUGAGAGCCAUGAUACAGAUCAAAGGUGGGUCUGAUAAACUGAGCUGUUUUAAACUAUCUGUUUAGAACAGUGCUUGGAGAGGGAUUCCUCAUGGUUCAGAUUCUCUAGACCUUACCUCACCCAUCCGUACUGAUUUAUUGAAGUCCAGCAAUUCCUUCUCUGCAUUAAAUUCUAAUUCUCCUGUUAACAUUCCCUUUGCUUUU